rnacentral:misc_RNA from 1 species
CCUGGCUAAGACUGUCCUU